GCGAUCCUCCGGCACACUUCCCCCUCUCUUCACACCCUCCUACCCUCCCCACGUUGCCACACUCCCCAAACAAACCAGUUAUCCUGGAAAAACGAUCUGAACAGCUUGCAGACUGAAGGGAAAGGUACACCCGGCUUCUCUGAGACCCACUCGUGCAGGACGCUUGCUGAUGACAUCACACCCGGAAGUAGCAGACGUCCGAAUGCCGACAUGCUGCCUGGGAGAGCCGGACCGCUUAAGACAGGAGGAUUUCCUGACCUGCAAAACUGAAAUUGAAAGUGCGUUGCACGUGUGUAACCUGGGAGAUCAUAAUUAUGUGAAUCCAAGUUUUAAUUAAGAUAGCCAGGAUGGUUUAAACAUCCCAUCACUGUAAUAUGUUUAAUUAAGGUAUAGAUACAUAUAACCGAAAAACUAAAGUUACAGGUUUACCUAUUUUGAUUGCCACCAGUUAUGUUUCCAUUGGAUGAGGCAAACUGCAGAGUCUUGCACAGCAGAUCUUUUUAUUACAUCUUCUAUGUUUAGCAGACCACCUAACGAUGAUGGUGGUCAAGUUACAGAGCAGGGUAUAAUGCCCAGUAUCACAAAUACCAGGCCAAACAUCCCAUCAUUUCCAGCUCAUGGAGGUAGCACAGUGGUUUUCAUCAGGCUUUUCCAGUUACUGUAAAGCACUUUUAAUGUGAUUGCUCUGUAAAUAAAUCUCUGUGUACGGUAAUUACGACUUUUUAUAAUGUUAUUGGAAAUAAAUGAAUCUGCAGUAUAACA